GACGAACGCUGGCGGCGUGCCUAAUACAUGCAAGUAGAACGCUGAAGAGAGGAGCUUGCUCUUCUUGGAUGAGUUGCGAACGGGUGAGUAACGCGUAGGUAACCUGCCUUGUAGCGGGGGAUAACUAUUGGAAACGAUAGCUAAUACCGCAUAACAAUGGAUGACACAUGUCAUUUAUUUGAAAGGGGCAAUUGCUCCACUACAAGAUGGACCUGCGUUGUAUUAGCUAGUAGGUGAGGUAAUGGCUCACCUAGGCGACGAUACAUAGCCGACCUGGGAGGGUGAUCGGCCACACUGGGACUGAGACACGGCCCAGACUCCUACGGGAGGCAGCAGUAGGGAAUCUUCGGCAAUGGGGGCAACCCUGACCGAGCAACGCCGCGUGAGUGAAGAAGGUUUUCGGAUCGUAAAGCUCUGUUGUAAGUCAAGAACGGGUGUGAGAGUGGAAAGUUCACACUGUGGCGGUAGCUUACCAGAAAGGGACGGCUAACUACGUG
rnacentral:rRNA from 1 species